CCCGCCGGCGACGCGCACGGGUGAGUAACACGUAUGAAACCUGCCCGCAGCAGGGGGAUAAGCGGAAGAAAUUCCGUCUAAUACCGCGUAACAACGUUGGGAGGCAUCUCCCGAUGUUUAAAGAUUUAUCGGCUGCGGAUGGCCAUGCGGCGCAUUAGCUAGUCGGCGGGGUAACGGCCCACCGAGGCGACGAUGCGUAGGGGUUCUGAGAGGAAGGUCCCCCACACUGGUACUGAGACACGGACCAGACUCCUACGGGAGGCAGCAG
rnacentral:rRNA from 1 species